GGGCGUUCGGUGGAUGCCUUGGCGCCAGGAGGCGAAGAAGGACGUGGCACGCUGCGAAAAGCCGCGGGGAGAUGCGAGCGAUCGUUGAUCCGCGGAUGUCCGAAUGGGGAAACCCCUCCGCAAGGAGAUCGUGUGCUGAAUACAUAGGCAUACGAGGCAAACCCGGGGAACUGAAACAUCUCAGUACCUGGAGGAAAAGACAUCAACAGAGAUUCCGCGAGUAGUGGCGAGCGAAAGCGGAGCAGGCCAGUGGUUACUGGAAGAGAAGGCGAGGGAUCUGGAAAGGUCCGCCGUAGAGGGUGACAGCCCCGUAGCCGUAGAGCUUCCAGUGAUCCUUGAGUAGGGCGGGGCACGUGAAACCCUGUCUGAACAUGGGGGGACCACCCUCCAAGCCUAAAUACUCCCUGGCGACCGAUAGUGCACAAGUACCGU
rnacentral:rRNA from 1 species